rnacentral:rRNA from 1 species
CGACCUCAGAUCAGACGAGAC